rnacentral:rRNA from 1 species
UACGUAGGGUGCGAGCGUUAAUCGGAAUUACUGGGCGUAAAGCGUGCGCAGGCGGUCGUGUAAGACAGGUGUGAAAUCCCCGGGCUUAACCUGGGAACUGCAUUUGUGACUGCACGGCUGGAGUGCGGCAGAGGGGGAUGGAAUUCCGGCGUGUAGCAGUGAAAUGCGUAGAUAUGCGGAGGAACACCGAUGGCGAAGGCAAUCCCCUGGGCCUGCACUGACGCUCAUGCACGAAAGCGUGGGGAGCAAACAGG